CAGGGCCGAGGUCUCUCAGGAAGGCAGAGUGUAGUCUGGAAGAAGAUGAGGAGGCUGGGUCUUCUCCUUUUCCUGGUGACGGCUCCCCAAGGUGUCCUCUCCCAGGUGCAGCUGCAGGAGUCAGGACCAGGCCAGACGAAUCCCUCACAGACCCUGUCCCUCACAUGCACUGUCACUGGUUACUCCAUCACCAGUGGUUAUGGCUGGAACUGGAUCCGCCAGCCACCAAACAAAGGGCUGGAGUGGAUGGGGAGCAUAAGCUAUAGUGGUAGAACUAACUACAGCCCAUCCCUCAGGAGCCGCAUCACCAUCUCCAGAGACACUUCCAAGAACCAGUUCUUGCUGCAGCUGAGCUCAGUAACCACUGAGGACACGGCCGUGUAUUACUGUGCGACAGACACAGUGAGAGGAAGUCAGCAUGAGCCCAGACACAAACUUCCUGCAGGGAGACAGGAGGGUCUGAGCUGUAGGGGGUGCUCAAGACCACCAGGUGGCACUCAGGACCACCAACUAGUGCUAAGACCCACAGAGCACAGAGAGUACACCCAGGAGCAGAUACGGAGGAGGCUGGGGAAGAAUCUUUCAGUGGACAUUGAUGAUCAGGGAUUGCUCCCUUCUGUGGCUGCCCUUCAUUCUCCUGUAUGGAAAAGCAGCCCACCUGAAGGGAUGCAGCCUUCAGCUUUUCCCAUGAAACAGACAGGCAUAUAA